rnacentral:rRNA from 1 species
AGAGAUGUGUGAUGACGCAUAUCAAUAAGCGGAGGAAAAGAAACUAACAAGGAUUCCCUUAGUAACGGCGAGUGAAGCGGGAAGAGCUCAAAUUUGAAAUCUUCAAGGUUUUACCUUGACGAAUUGUAGUUUAAAGAAGUGUUUUCUGUUGGAGUUUUGGUAAAAGUUCUUUGGAAUAGGACAUCAUAGAGGGUGAGAAUCCCGUAUUUGACCAUUAUUUCAGCUGUGUGAUACACUUUCAAAGAGUCGGAUUGUUUGGGAAUGCAGUCCAAAAUGGGUGGUAAAUUUCAUCUAAAGCUAAAUAUUGGCGAGAGACCGAUAGCGAACAAGUACCGUGAGGGAAAGAUGAAAAGAACUUUGAAAAGAGAGUUAAACAGUACGUGAAAUUGUCAAAAGGGAAGCGUUUGACACCAGUGUUGUUUUUCCGAAAAUCAAUUACGAAUGUUUUGUUUUUGAGGAGUUAUGACUUCAUUGGCUUGCUUCUUUCUUUAUGAAACUUUCUUAAUGCACUUUUCGGUUAACAAGUCAACAUCAAUUUCUUUUGUUGUAAAAGGGUAUGAGGAAGGUGGCUUUCUUUUCGGAGAAAGUGUUUAUAGCCUUGUGACUUCUGCAAUCGGAGAGAUUGAGGUCUGCAGCGUAGAUCCUUCGGGGUUAGAUACAUUUGUGCUAAGCUAUAGCCUUGUAUAGACAACUUGUUGACUAUGCUCUAGUCAUGUAGCUUACUCGCUUAUGCUAUUUUACCUACGCUUAGGAUGUUGAAGAUGUAGCACAUCA